AUUGAACGCUGGCGGCAUGCCUUACACAUGCAAGUCGAACGGCAGCACGGGAGCAAUCCUGGUGGCGAGUGGCGGACGGGUGAGUAAAGUAUCGGAACGUGCCCAGUCGUGGGGGAUAACGUAGCGCAAGUUACGCUAAUACCGCAUACGAUCUAGGGAUGAAAGCGGGGGAUCGCAAGACCUCGCGCGAUUUGAGCGGCCGAUAUCAGAUUAGGUAGUUGGUGGGGUAAAGGCUCACCAAGCCGACGUUUUGUAGCGGGACAGAGAGGCCGACCAGCCACACCGGGACUGAGAACCGGCCCAGCCUCCGACGGGAGGGAGCAGUGGGGAAUUUCGGAAAAUGGGCGAAAGCCUGUACCAGCCAGGCCGAGUGCAGGAUGAAGGCCUUCGGGUUGUAAACUGCUUUUGUACGGAACGAAAAGGUUUGGCCUAAUAAGCUGAGCUCAUGACGGUACCGUAAGAAUAAGCACCGGCUAACUACGUGCCAGCCGCCGCCGUAA
rnacentral:rRNA from 1 species